rnacentral:rRNA from 1 species
AGAGUUUGAUCCUGGCUCAGGAUGAACGCUAGCUAUAGGCUUAACACAUGCAAGUCGAGGGGCAGCAUGGUCUUAGCUUGCUAAGGCCGAUGGCGACCGGCGCACGGGUGAGUAACGCGUAUCCAACCUGCCUUACACUCUUGGACAGCCUUCUGAAGGGGAGAUUAAUACAAGAUGUUAUCAUGAGUAAGCAUUUUCGCAUGAUUAAAGGUUUACCGGUGUAAGAUGGGGAUGCGUUCCAUUAGAUAGUAGGCGGGGUAACGGCCCACCUAGUCUUCGAUGGAUAGGGGUUCUGAGAGGAAGGUCCCCCACAUUGGAACUGAGACACGGUCCAAACUCCUACGGGAGGCAGCAGUGAGGAAUAUUGGUCAAUGGACGAGAGUCUGAACCAGCCAAGUAGCGUGAAGGAUGAAGGUUCUAUGGAUUGUAAACUUCUUUUAUACGGGAAUAAACGGAUCCACGUGUGGAUUUUUGCAUGUACCGUAUGAAUAAGGAUCGGCUAACUCCGUGCCAGCAGCCGCGGUAAUACGGAGGAUCCGAGCGUUAUCCGGAUUUAUUGGGUUUAAAGGGAGCGUAGAUGGAUGUUUAAGUCAGUUGUGAAAGUUUGCGGCUCAACCGUAAAAUUGCAGUUGAUACUGGAUAUCUUGAGUGCAGUUGAGGCAGGCGGAAUUCGUGGUGUAGCGGUGAAAUGCUUAGAUAUCACGAAGAACUCCGAUUGCGAAGGCAGCCUGCUAAGCUGCAACUGACAUUGAGGCUCGAAAGUGUGGGUAUCAAACAGGAUUAGAUACCCUGGUAGUCCACACGGUAAACGAUGAAUACUCGCUGUUUGCGAUAUACAGCAAGCGGCCAAGCGAAAGCGUUAAGUAUUCCACCUGGGGAGUACGCCGGCAACGGUGAAACUCAAAGGAAUUGACGGGGGCCCGCACAAGCGGAGGAACAUGUGGUUUAAUUCGAUGAUACGCGAGGAACCUUACCCGGGCUUAAAUUGCAGAUGAAUUACGGUGAAAGCCGUAAGCCGCAAGGCAUCUGUGAAGGUGCUGCAUGGUUGUCGUCAGCUCGUGCCGUGAGGUGUCGGCUUAAGUGCCAUAACGAGCGCAACCCUUGUUGUCAGUUACUAACAGGUUCCGCUGAGGACUCUGACAAGACUGCCAUCGUAAGAUGUGAGGAAGGUGGGGAUGACGUCAAAUCAGCACGGCCCUUACGUCCGGGGCUACACACGUGUUACAAUGGGGGGUACAGAGGGCCGCUACCACGCGAGUGGAUGCCAAUCCCCAAAACCUCUCUCAGUUCGGACUGGAGUCUGCAACCCGACUCCACGAAGCUGGAUUCGCUAGUAAUCGCGCAUCAGCCACGGCGCGGUGAAUACGUUCCCGGGCCUUGCACUCACCGCCCGUCAAG